rnacentral:rRNA from 1 species
GGAGCUUGCUCCCGGAUGUUAGCGGCGGACGGGUGAGUAACACGUGGGUAACCUGCCUGUAAGACUGGGAUAACUCCGGGAAACCGGAGCUAAUACCGGAUAGUUCCUUGAACCGCAUGGUUCAAGGAUGAAAGACGGUUUCGGCUGUCACUUACAGAUGGACCCGCGGCGCAUUAGCUAGUUGGUGGGGUAAUGGCUCACCAAGGCGACGAUGCGUAGCCGACCUGAGAGGGUGAUCGGCCACACUGGGACUGAGACACGGCCCAGACUCCUACGGGAGGCAGCAGUAGGGAAUCUUCCGCAAUGGACGAAAGUCUGACGGAGCAACGCCGCGUGAGUGAUGAAGGUUUUCGGAUCGUAAAGCUCUGUUGUUAGGGAAGAACAAGUGCGAGAGUAACUGCUCGCACCUUGACGGUACCUAACCAGAAAGCCACGGCUAACUACGUGCCAGCAGCCGCGGUAAUACGUAGGUGGCAAGCGUUGUCCGGAAUUAUUGGGCGUAAAGGGCUCGCAGGCGGUUUCUUAAGUCUGAUGUGAAAGCCCCCGGCUCAACCGGGGAGGGUCAUUGGAAACUGGGAAACUUGAGUGCAGAAGAGGAGAGUGGAAUUCCACGUGUAGCGGUGAAAUGCGUAGAGAUGUGGAGGAACACCAGUGGCGAAGGCGACUCUCUGGUCUGUAACUGACGCUGAGGAGCGAAAGCGUGGGGAGCGAACAGGAUUA